rnacentral:rRNA from 1 species
CUGCGAUAAAUAGUGCGAAUUGCAGACGCAUUGAGCACAGAGAUUUCGAACGCACAUUGCGCCAUCGGGUGUUGAUUCCCGAUGGCACGUCUGGCUGAGGGUCGAUUUCCAUUAAGUACAACAAUAAACAGCUCAACCCAAUAUCUCUUAUAUG